AAAAAACACCCACCAACCACAAAACUAAAAUACUAUUCAUAAGAACCCCUACACAUUUUCUAUCGUAAUUAGAAAAUGAAACCUCUAAUAUCCGAUUACUAUACGCAUUCAAAAUAAGCUAAGGGUUAUCGCAGAUAUAGCGUAAUAAAGAGCGUGCGCAUGCCUGGGAAUAAUGAGGCGGUCUAUUAAAGAUGCUCUCGUUCUCAAUCUGAGCGGCAUUUUAUCCCGAUAUUAACUAAAUCUGGUUUAUGAACCUCACCUGCCCAUUUUACAUCCGUGCAGGGCCACGUGGAGUUUGCAUUCUAAAAUUGAAAAAAAAAAAACCAGACGUAGAAUUCAAAAUUGUGACAUUCUGAUUGCUACUUGCUAGACCAAUAGUUUAAUAAACGUUUUUAACACC
rnacentral:sRNA from 1 species